rnacentral:rRNA from 1 species
UCAAGUGAAUAAGUGCAUACGACGGAUGCCUUGGCAGUAGAAGGCGAUGAAGGACGUGAUAAUCUGCGAUAAGCUUCGGUUAGCUGAUAAUAAGCUUUAACCCGGAGAUCUCCGAAUGGGAAAACCCAGUGAUCAUAAGAUCAUUAUCCUUAACUGAAUACAUAGGUUAAGGAGGCAAACCUAGGGAACUGAAACAUCUAAGUACCUAGAGGAAAAGAAAUCAACCGAGAUUCCCUUAGUAGCGGCGAGCGAACGGGGACCAGCCCUUAAGCAAUUUUGAGAUUAGUAGAAUGUUCUGGAAAGUUCAACGACACAGGGUGAUAGUCCCGUAUACGAAAAUCUUUUAAUUGUGAAAUCGAGUAAGGCGGCGCACGUGAAACGCUGUUUGAAUAUGGGGGGACCACCCUCCAAGGCUAAAUACUCUCUACUGACCGAUAGUGAACAAGUACCGUGAGGGAAAGGCGAAAAGAACCCCGGGAGGGGAGUGAAAUAGAACCUGAAAUCGUAUGCAUACAAGCAGUGGGAGCAGACUUGUUCUGUGACUGCGUACCUUUUGUAUAAUGGGUCAGCGACUUACUUCUCAGUAGCAAGGUUAACCAUUAGGGGAGCCGUAGGGAAACCGAGUCUUAAAUGGGCGUUUAGUUGCUGGGAGUAGACCCGAAACCGGGUGAUCUAUCCAUGGUCAGUGUGAAGGUCAGGUAAAACUGACUGGAGGCGCGAACCCACUUAUGUUGAAAAAUGAGGGGAUGAACUGUGGAUAGGGGUGAAAGGCCAAACAAACCCGGAGAUAGCUGGUUCUCUCCGAAAUCUAUUUAGGUAGAGCGUCGCGUAUUACUUCUGGGGGUAGAGCACUGUUAUGGCUAGCGGGUCGUCAAGGCUUAGUAAACCAUUGCAAACUCCGAAUACCAGAAAGUAUGAGCGCGGCAGACACACUGCGGGUGCUAACGUCCGUAGUGGAAAGGGAAACAACCCAGACCGUCAGCUAAGGUCCCAAAAUUAUAGUUAAGUGGGAAACGAUGUGAAAAGGCCCAGACAGCCAGGAGGUUGGCUUAGAAGCAGCCAUUCCUUUAAAGAGUGCGUAAUAGCUCACUGGUCGAGUCGGUUUGCGCGGAAGAUUUAACGGGGCUAAACUAUAUACCGAAGCUGCGGAUCGCAAUUUAUUGCGAUGGUAGGAGAGCGUUCUGUAAGCCGUUGAAGGUGAACUGUGAGGUUUGCUGGAGGUAUCAGAAGUGCGAAUGCUGACAUGAGUAACGAUAAAGGGGGUGAAAAACCCCCUCGCCAGAAGUCCAAGGUUUCCUACGCAACGUUAAUCGGCGUAGGGUUAGUCGGCCCCUAAGGCGAGGCAGAAAUGCGUAGUCGAUGGGAAACGGGUUAAUAUUCCCGUACUUCAUAUAACUGCGAUGGGAAGACGGAGUAGGUUAGCUCAGCAAGGCGAUGGUUGUCCUUGUUCAAGCGUGUAGAAAUGGUUCUUAGGAAAAUCCGGGAACCUCUAUUUCAAGGCGUGAUAACGAGCCCUCUUUUGGGCGAAGUGAGUGAGACCAUGCUUCCAGGAAAAUCCUCUAAGCUUCAGGUUAUAUGAAACCGUACCCCAAACCGACACAGGUGGACGAGAUGAGAAUUCUAAGGCGCUUGAGAGAACUCGGGUGAAGGAACUAGGCAAAAUGACACCGUAACUUCGGGAGAAGGUGUGCUCUUGUUAUGUGAUAUCACUUGCUGAUUGAGCAAAGAAGAGCUGAAAAAACUAGGUGGCUGCGACUGUUUAUUAAAAACACAGCACUCUGCAAACACGUAAGUGGACGUAUAGGGUGUGACUCCUGCCCGGUGCUUGAAGGUUAAUUGAUGAGGUUAGCGCUUGCGCGAAGCUUUUGAUCGAAGCCCAAGUAAACGGCGGCCGUAACUAUAACGGUCCUAAGGUAGCGAAAUUCCUUGUCGGG